ACCAUUUGUAUGCAUACUACGAGAUCAGAAGAGUGCUGAGGGAUAUAUUGAGCAAGAAUGAAAAGGCAAAGUUCAUAGUAACAGGUCACAGCUUGGGUGGGGCAUUGGCAAUAUUGUUUGUGGGUGUUUUAGCUAUACACAAAGAGGCCUGGUUACUGGACAGAAUGGAAGGUGUCUACACUUUUGGGCAGCCAAGAGUUGGAGACAGGCAAUUUGGGGGUUUCAUGGAA
rnacentral:misc_RNA from 1 species